rnacentral:rRNA from 1 species
UACAGAGGUCUCAAGCGUUGUUCGGAUUCAUUGGGCGUAAAGGGUGCGUAGGUGGCGUGGCAAGUCUGAUGUGAAAUCCCGGGGCUCAACCCCGGAACUGCAUUGGAUACUGCCAUGCUUGAGCACUGGAGAGGAGACUGGAAUUUACGGUGUAGCAGUGAAAUGCGUAGAUAUCGUAAGGAAGACCAGUGGCGAAGGCGAGUCUCUGGACAGUUGCUGACACUGAGGCACGAAAGCUAGGGGAGCAAACGGG